rnacentral:rRNA from 1 species
UACGUAGGGGGCGAGCGUUGUCCGGAUUUAUUGGGCGUAAAGAGCUCGUAGGCGGCUUGGCAAGUCGGGUGUGAAACCUCCAGGCUCAACCUGGAGCCGCCAUUCGAUACUGCUAUGGCUAGAGUCCGGUAGGGGAGUGUGGAAUUCCCGGUGUAGCGGUGAAAUGCGCAGAUAUCGGGAGGAACACCGAUGGCGAAGGCAGCACUCUGGGCCGGUACUGACGCUGAGGAGCGAAAGCGUGGGGAGCGAACAGG